GGCUCAGGAUAAACGCUGGCGGCGCACAUAAGACAUGCAAGUCGAACGGACUUAACUCAUUCUUUACGAUUGAGAGCGGUUAGUGGCGGACUGGUGAGUAACACGUAAGCAACCUGCCUAUCAGAGGGGAAUAACAGUGAGAAAUCAUUGCUAAUACCGCAUAUGCUAACAGUAUCGCAUGAUACAGUUAGGAAAGGAGCAAUCCGCUGAUAGAUGGGCUUGCGUCUGAUUAGCUAGUUGGUGGGGUAACGGCCUACCAAGGCGACGAUCAGUAGCCGAGCUGAGAGGCUCAACGGCCACAUUGGGACUGAGAUACGGCCCAGACUCCUACGGGAGGCAGCAGUCGGGAAUAUUGCGCAAUGGAGGAAACUCUGACGCAGUGACGCCGCGUAUAGGAAGAAGGUUUUCGGAUUGUAAACUAUUGUCAUUAGGGAAGAAAAAGACUGUACCUAAGGAGGAAGCCCCGGCUAACUAUGUG
rnacentral:rRNA from 1 species